rnacentral:rRNA from 1 species
ACGGAAGGCAGCAGUGAGGAAUAUUGGUCAAUGGGCGAGAGCCUGAACCAGCCAAGUCGCGUGAAGGAAGACGGUUCUAUGGAUUGUAAACUUCUUUUGUUCGAGGGUAAAGUGAGAGAUGCGUCUCUUAUUGCAAGUAUCGGACGAAUAAGCAUCGGCUAACUCCGUGCCAGCAGCCGCGGUAAUACGGAGGAUGCGAGCGUUAUCCGGAUUUAUUGGGUUUAAAGGGUGCGUAGGCGGGAUGUUAAGUCAGCGGUGAAAGCGUGUAGCUCAACUAUACCGAGCCGUUGAAACUGGCGUUCUUGAGUGUAAACGAGGUAGGCGGAAUGUGACAUGUAGCGGUGAAAUGCUUAGAUAUGUCACAGAACACCGAUUGCGAAGGCAGCUGACUAAUCCGCAACUGACGCUCAGGCACGAAAGCGUGGGGAUCGAACAGGAUUAGAUACCCUGGUA